rnacentral:tRNA from 1 species
GGUGAUGGUCCUUUUUGGACCACACUGGCAGUGUGGGGGUCAGGGGUUCGAAUCCCCUCAGCUCCA